rnacentral:rRNA from 1 species
ACCAAGCUUCCAGGAAAAGCCACUAAGCUUCAGUCUAGAGUUGACCGUACCGCAAACCGACACAGGUGGGCAGGAUGAAAAUUCUAAGGCGCUUGAGAGAACUCAGGAGAAGGAACUCGGCAAAUUAACACCGUAACUUCGGGAGAAGGUGUGCCCCGGUAGCGUGUAGAGACUUGCUCCCAAGCGCGAUGGGGUUGCAGUGAAAUGGUGGCUGCGACUGUUUAAUAAAAACACAGCACUCUGCAAACACGAAAGUGGACGUAUAGGGUGUGACGCCUGCCCGGUGCCGGAAGGUUAAGUGAUGGGGUGCAAGCUCUUGAUCGAAGCCCCGGUAAACGGCGGCCGUAACAAUAACGGUCCUAAGGUAGCGAAAUUCCUUGUCGGGUAAGUUCCGACCUGCACGAAUGGCGUAACGAUGGCCACACUGUCUCCUCCUGGGACUCAGCGAAGUUGAAAUGUUUGUGAAGAUGCAAUCUACCCGCGGCUAGACGGAAAGACCCCAUGAACCUUUACUGUAGCUUUGCAUUGGACUUUGAACCGGUUUGUGUAGGAUAGGUGGGAGACUGUGAAGCCGGGACGCUAGUUUCGGUGGAGUCAACCUUGAAAUACCACCCUGAUUUGUUUGAGGUUCUAACCUUGGUCCGUGAAUCCGGAUCGGGGACCGUGCAUGGUAGGCAGUUUGACUGGGGCGGUCUCCUCCCAAAAGGUAACGGAGGAGUACGAAGGUACGCUUAGGGCGGUCGGACAUCGCCCACAAAGUGCAAUGGCAAAAGCGUGCUUGACUGCGAGACCCACAAGUCGAGCAGGUACGAAAGUAGGUCAUAGUGAUCCGGUGGUUCUGUAUGGAAGGGCCAUCGCUCAACGGAUAAAAGGUACUCUGGGGAUAACAGGCUAAUUCCUCCCAAGAGUUCAUAUCGACGGGGGAGUUUGGCACCUCGAUGUCGGCUCAUCACAUCCUGGGGCUGUAGUCGGUCCCAAGGGUAUGGCUGUUCGCCAUUUAAAGUGGUACGCGAGCUGGGUUUAAAACGUCGUGAGACAGUUUGGUCCCUAUCUGCCGUGGGCGCUGGAAAUUUGAAGGGGGCUGCUCCUAGUACGAGAGGACCGGAGUGGACGAACCUCUGGUGUACCGGUUAUGACGCCAGUCGUAUCGCCGGGUAGCUAAGUUCGGAAGAGAUAAACGCUGAAAGCAUCUAAGCGUGAAACUCGCCUUAAGAUAAGAUUUCCCGGAGUCUUGAACUCCCUGAAGGGUCGUCGAAGACCACGACGUUGAUAGGUCAGGUGUGGAAGCGCAGCAAUGCGUUAAGCUAACUGAUACUAAU